GGCACUGCAGACUGACAUGGUGAAGAGCAGAGAGGAGUGUUCACUCAGCAGAGCAGGCCAGCCCCCUAUAGCACUGAUCACAGACAGAAAUCAUAUCCUUGGACACCUGCUAUUCAGGAGCAAGCAAGAUCUUCUGAGAAAGAACUGCAGUUGAGAGAAAGAAGAAGUCAACUGAACUUCCUUUGGCCCGAGUUUUAUUGUCUCAGGAAUGGAAUCAGGUUUCUCUUAAAUAACUGAAGGCAGGACUGUUGUCUUAUAUUGUAUGUGUUGUUACCAAACCUAUUGUGGAUGAAGACCAUACCCAAAC